GAUGAAGAACGUAGCGAAAUGCGAUAAGUAGUGUGAAUUGCAGAAUUCAGUGAAUCAUCGAAUCUUUGAACGCACAUUGCGCCCUUUGGUAUUCCAAAGGGCAUGCCUGUUCGAGCGUCAUUUGUACCCUCAAGCUUUGCUUGGUGUUGGGCGUCUUGUCUCUAGCUUUGCUGGAGACUCGCCUUAAAGUAAUUGGCAGCCGGCCUACUGGUUUCGGAGCGCAGCACAAGUCGCGCUCUCUAUCAGCAAAGGUCUAGCAUCCAUUAAGCCUUUUUUUCAACUUUUGACCUCGGAUCAGGUAGGGAUACCCGCUGAACUUAAGCAUAUCAAAAGCGGAGGA
rnacentral:misc_RNA from 1 species